rnacentral:lncRNA from 1 species
ACCCUUCUCUGUCCGUCGGCCUGUCCUGCCAACUCUGGUGUGAGUGUGAAGCUGUGGCAAGAGGGGUUUCCCAUUCCUACUGGACCUGGUGGACACCAGCUUUCCUAGGAAAUUGCUGAUGUUGCUGAGGAGGCAGCAGUAUCAAAGGCCUUGUUGAUGAAGGUACAACAAGCUGGGGAGGCUUUGGCAUUUCUGCACAAUGCUGCUCCCUGAUUGUCACUCCAGACUCAGAUUCGGAAAGAAGCAAAGCAAGCCAGAGGAAAACUGGAUGUCCAGUAUCCAAAACUCCGUAUCACAGCGGAUCUUCUCCUCUGAUCCAAAAAGCUUCACAGGCCAAAAGAGAAUUGAGAUGAAGAAGGCAAUAGAGAAUGCAGACCAAUACUUCCAAUUACCACCCCAACUUCUGUCUUGGCUCUUCACAUCCAGCCAGAGCAGUUUCUUUGCCUCCGCAACCUGCAGGCUGUCCUCGCGUGUGUACCUGUGGUGGACUGAGGGUAUGAGGUGAAGAAGAACACUGAAACCAGCUGAAGCCGUAUCGGCCACAUGCUUCUGCUCGGAAGUAAUUCAGAGUGAUUCCAUGGUGUACUUUAGACAGAUUUCCUCUGGUCCUCUGGACUCAGCAUCCCCAAGGGAUCUUUCAAAGCUCUCUGAAGGACCUGUCAUUAUCUCUGACACUGCAGUCUCGAUUAGGAAGGGGUAAAUAUUCCUUGCCCUUGUGCAAAGGAACUACUCAGUCAGCUGUUUCUAACCCAAAUCUCUUUGUUGUCUUCUGUUGACAGACACCACCCGGCUAGCCAAGCUAACCCAUUGAAAAAGGAAGGAGUGGGACUACUUCCAAACCCUGCUGCCGCUUCUAAGCAGAACUGCGCUGUAGGUGGGGACACAGCAAGAGGACACGUCCAGGCCACGGUGGAACUGCAAGGCACCUGUCUGAGCCACAGAAGGAAGUCAGCGCUUCCCAGUUGAAGACUGUUGCUCGACCAGUGACACAGCAGCUGGAGCGCUUCUGGUUGCUGCUGAUGGGUUCCCGUGACUCAGCCAGGGAUAGGAGCUAUGAGAACGACUGAAGCGAUUUGAAGUUGCCCGAAAGAAAGAAGAGAGGAGAGAAGAAGACAAGCGGGGAGGGGAGGGAAUAAAAAGAAGGGAGGGGAGGGAAUAAAAAGAAGG